rnacentral:rRNA from 1 species
GACGAACGCUGGCGGCGUGCUUAACACAUGCAAGUCGAACGGAAAGUCCCCCACCUUGGUGGGGGUGCUCGAGUGGCGCACGGGUGAGUAACACGUGGGUGAUCUGCCCUGUACUUCGGGAUAAGCUUGGGAAACUGGGUCUAAUACCGGAUAGGACCAUGGUUUAGUGUCUCAUGGUGGAAAAAUUAUUGUUUUGGUGCAGUAUGAGCUCGCGGCCUAUCAGCUUGUUGGUGGGGUAAUGGCCUACCAAGGCGUCGACGGGUAGCCGGCCUGAGAGGGUGGGCUGCCACAUUGGGACUGAGAUACGGCCCAGACACAUACGGGAGGCAGCAGUGGGGAAUAUUGCACAAUGGGCGCAAGCCUGAUGCAGCGACGCCGAGUGGGGGAUGACUGCCUUCGGGUUGAAAACUCCUUUCGUUAGGGACGAAGCCACACCUUUUUUGGGUGUGGUGACGGUACCUUUGUGAAGAAGCACCGGCUAACUACGUG